ensembl:lncRNA
ACCCAGUCAAAUAGGUUACCCCACUCUAAUAUGUUACCCAGUCUAAUAGGUUACCCCAGUCUAAUAGGUUACCCCAGUCUAAUAUGUUACCCCAGUCUAAUAGGUUACCCCAGUCUAAUAGGUUACCCAGUCUAAUAUAUUACCCAGCCUAAUAGGUUACCCCAGUCUAAUAGAUUACCCCAGUCUAAUAGGUUACCCCAGUCUAAUAGGUUACCCCAGUCUAGUAGGUUACCCCAGUAUAAUAUGUUAACCCAGUCUAGUAGGUUACUCCAGUCUAAUAGGUUAACCCAGUAUAAUAUGUUAACCCCCUUUCUAGUAGGUUACCCCAGUCUAAUAGAUUACCCCAGUCUAAUAGGUUACUCCAGUCUAAUAGGUUACCCCAGUCUAAUAUGUUACUCCAGUCUAAUAUGUUAACCCAGUCUAAUAUGUUAACCCAGUCUAAUAGGUUACCCCAGUCUAAUAUGUUACCCCAGUCUAGUAGGUUACCCCAGUCUAAUAUGUUACCCC